rnacentral:rRNA from 1 species
UACGUAGGUGGCAAGCGUUACUCGGAAUCACUAGGCGUAAAGCGCAGGUAGGCGGUUCGGUAAGUCUUUUGUGAAAGCUCCUGGCUCAACUGGGAGAGGUCAAAGGAAACUACCGGGUUAGAGUUUGGUAGGGGAGACUGGAAGUUCCUGGUGUAGCGGUGAAAUGACGUAGAUAUCAGGAGGAAUACCUAGUGGCGAAAGCAGGUCUCUGGGCCACAACAUGACGCUGGAGCUGCGAAAGCUAGGGGAGCAAACAGG